rnacentral:tmRNA from 1 species
AGUUCCUGAUCAAUCCUGCCUUUGGGAGUUUUCAGAAGCGAAUGCAAAUCAAAGGAUACGUACGUAGAAACUGCAGUGGAAUAUUUUCGGACGCGGGUUCGACUCCCGCCGCCUCCACCA